UACGUAGGGUGCAAGCGUUGUCCGGAAUUAUUGGGCGUAAAGAGCUCGUAGGCGGUUUGUCGCGUCUGCUGUGAAAACUCGGGGCUUAACCCCGGGCCUGCAGUGGGUACGGGCAGACUAGGGUGCGGUAGGGGAGACUGGAAUUCCUGGUGUAGCGGUGAAAUGCGCAGAUAUCUGGAGGAAUACCGGUGGCGAAGGCGGCAUCCUGGACCGAGAUUGACGCUGAACGGCGAAAGCUAGGGGAGCAAACGGG
rnacentral:rRNA from 1 species